AGCAGGGUGGGUUGUUGUGAUAAAUACAGGCAGCAGAGGACUCGUUUCAGGUUUCUAUGGAUGGACAAGGGAAAAGGUGAUUACAUUAGGAGGGAGCAUCAGAAGAAAGACAGAAUACCAGCAAAGACAUACCGAUCAUGGCACAUUCUCAUCAUGUCUUUCAAGGGUUCAGGUCUCGGCUUCGGCUGGGCAACUCACAGACAUUCAGACUUGAAGCCACUGCAGAGCUGUCUUGGCUGUAUGCUGUCACCACCAUGCUUCACCAUAGGAAUGGUAUUAGUGAGCUGAUGAGCAGAAACUGGAGCUCAGUUUUGGAGUGCAUUCAGCCGAGGGUCUGAAGACUUACAGUGGUGCUUGAAAGUUUGUGAACCCUUGAGAAUUUUCUAUAUUUCUACAUGAAUGUGACCAAAAACAUUACAUUUCCACACAAGUCCUAAAAGUAGAUGUAGGACUCCCUAUGUGUGGGUGGAGCACAGAGGACGGAAGGACAGAGACCAGAUUCCAAAAUAGCGUUUUAUUGCUAGACUUUUCAGCUAAACAAUAAUUCAUUCAAACAGCCAGACAGACACACACAACCGGCGUCUGGUUCAGGGCAGAGCUCCCUCCGCUCUCACUCUCCCUCCUCAUAUAGGGCGCGGUCACUGGGAAGACACACAAACACAGGUUAAUUGCUCUCAGGUGAAGUGAUUCUGCCACUUACCUUCCCUGACUCCACCCUCCUGUCACAGACCGGCGCUUGACCACGCCCCCGCUGCCACAGUAGACAAAGAGAACCCAAUUAAAGAAAUGAGACAAAAAUAUUAUCCUUGGCUAUUUAUUUAUUGAUAAAACAUGAUCUAAUAUUACAGAUCAGUGAGUGGCAAAAGAAUGUCAACCUCUAGAAUUAGCAGUUAAUUUGAAGGUGAAAUUCGAGUCAGGUAUUUUCAAUCAAUGGGUUGGCAAUCAAUCUCCACCAGUCCACAAUCAGACAGAUGGAGGAAAUUCAGGAUCACUGUUUCCCUCCUCAGGAGUGGACCAGCAAAGAUCACUCCAAGAGCAAGGCAUGUAAGAGUCUGCGAGGUCAUAAAGGGACCCAGGAUAACUCCGAAACAGUCAUUUUACAAAAGAAUGGUUGAAGAAUCAAGCUUAUGUUUUGGAAUGAACAAGUUAAAGUCCUGACCUUAAUCCAGUAGAAAUGUUGUGUGAGCAGGUCAUGUGAGGAAACACAGCAACAUCUCAGAGCUCAAGCUGUUCCGUACAGAGGAACAGGAUAAAACUCCUCCAAGCCGAUGUUCAGGAUCUGAUUAACAGUUACAGCAGAUAUUCAGCUGCAGUUAUUUCUGCACAAGGAGCUCACACGAGACACUGAAAACAAGGGUUCAUAGUCUUUUACCACUCACUGAGAUGUAAUAUUGGAUAAUUUUCAAUAAAUAAAUGACCAACUAUGUUUAAGUUCAUUCCAUUAUCUGUAGCCACUUAUCCUGUGCAGGGUUGCAGGCGGGCUGGAGCCUAUCCCAGCUGACUACGGGCGAAAGGCGGGGUACACCCUGGACAAGUCACCCGGUCAUCACAGGGCUGACACAUAGACACAGACAACCAUUCACACUCACAUUCACACCUACGCUCAAUUUAGAGUCACCAGUUAACCUAACCUGCAUGUCUUUGGACUGUGGGGGAAACCGGAGCACCCGGAGGAAACCCACGCUGACACGGGGAGAACAUGCAAACUCCGCACAGAAAGGCCCUCGCCGGCCACUGGGCUCGAACCCAGAACCUUCUUGCUGUGAGGCAACAGUGCUAACCACUACACCACCGUGCCGCCCUAUGUUUAAGUCUCAUUCAUUUAAUUGGUUUCUCUUUAUUUACUUUUAGGACUUGUAUGAAAAUCUGAUGUUGUUACAAAAAUUUAAAAAGUUUCACAAACUUUCAAGCAUCGCUGCGUCUAAAUGAGAGAUUUCAGUGUUUUCACGUUUUUGUUUUGAUGCUUGUUUGACUAUUGUGUGUAGAUCAAUGGCAAAAUAUAAUCCAUAAAUGUCAUGUGUAAAUGUAAUCCACUCACAGCAAAUUCGAUGUUCCUUGUGAGAUCAAGAUAAUCAUGAAGAUGGCAUACUCUAUUGAUAAAAAUUAUGUUGUGCUAUGAACAAUGUUUUGCUAAAAUGACUGGACAGAUAAACAACAGCAUGAAAGGAGAACAUGAUGUUUUCGGGAAAGUGACAUGCAGUGGAGACAUGCAUCUUUCAUUCAUGAUGUUUAUAUGUAUUUUGCAUCCAUUUUGCCAGUUAAUUCAUUCAAAUUUAGAUUCCCAGUGAACUAUUUAAAUGCAUCUUAAAAAUGUUCAUGAAAUUAAUGUGCAGAAUUGAAAUACAUUGGCUAUUUAAACCUGAAAUUAUGCAAUUUGAAGUUCCAUCAGAUCAGAUGAUGUUUACAUUAGUUACGUUCGUAAAUUUAUGCUUUCUAAAACAAGGAGGAUACGAAUGCUUUCCCUGACUUACGUCAUGUUCACAAACGAGUCAUUCCAUGUUAAUUCACAUCGCUGUUGCUGAAUGUCUCAGAUUUUGUACAUUCUUUUUGUGAUUUGUUGCUUGUGACCGAUUACUGGAAUCUGCAUUUUGGAAAAUAUCACAUUUUUUUCACUCCUAGAAAAAAAGAUUGCAUUUUAUAAUUAAAAAAAGUCUGAUCUGGGAUAUCCAGAGUCAAGACUUCGACUUAGCCUGGACAGCGGACAGCAUGUUUUAUUUACUGAUGUUUUUUGUAACUUUUGACCAGAAUUCAGUGACAUUUGGCGGGUUUUUCCCACAAUAACAAACUAAUUUAAAAAAAAAUAAAAAUCCUUGCAGGGCGGCACGGUGGUGUAGUGCUGUCGCCUCACAGCGAGAAGGUUCGGGUUCGAGCCCCAUGGCCUAGACCCCGAAGCCGCCGCCAGGCGCCGCUAAAACCGCCAUUUAGAAUUUGAGCCGCCGCCAGCCAAUAAUUUUGUAAGCCAAUUUGAGCCGCUAUCUAAUAAAAUUUGGCUGAGCCACUAAGAAUUGUGUACAUCAAAUAAUGGGUUUAUCCACAUCAUGAGCUACAAGAAAAGUGACACAAACAUGAUCAACUGUACACACUAGUAGUAACACAAUAGAGACGUAUAGGCAUACACUGUAGAGAUUUAGAACUGAUAUCACAGCACAGAGAGCCACCACAAGCUUGCCGUUGUGACUACCUGUCUGGCUUCCCGCUCCUCACACCGUUACCACGAUACACUGGGGAACCCGGGGACCCACCCAGAGCAUCAAUCGACUCCGAUAUCGAUGAGAUGGCUGCAAUCUUUGCCACUGCUGAGGGAAAGUGUAAAGGUAUUUUUUUUUUGUUUGUUUGUUUGUUUCACAUACUUCAAGAUUGAUAAAAAAAAAAGUACUCCACCACUCUACUUUCAUCAUAGUAAGAUAGCUGCCAGUCAGUCCUUCACUGGUCAUUGCUAGUGAGAGUAGAUAGCUAGAUGCCUUCCUCAAACAAUCCAGAUUAGCUUAUUAUUAGCAUUGAACUACAAUCUUGCUAGAUUUAUAUUUACAAUGAAGUAAGAGACCAGGGGACCUGUGGUAAUUUGCUAUUUAUUCCCCCCAUUUGUUUGAUCCGUUCGCCCGGAUAUAUGCCACACAGUGACGUCCAGUAUCAGCCAUUUGUAGCCAUAAACAUUUUGGUGGCUGCAGCAGCCAUUAAGGUUUUGGCUGAGUCAGCUAGCCAGCCAAUA